rnacentral:rRNA from 1 species
UACGUAGGCAGCGAGCGUUGUUCGGAGUUACUGGGCGUAAAGAGUGCGUAGGCGGUUUUCUAAGUUUGGUGUGAAAUCUCCCGGCUUAACUGGGAGGGUGCGCCGAAGACUGGAAGGCUUGAGUAUGGGAGAGGUAAGCGGAAUUCCUGGUGUAGCGGCGAAAUGCGUAGAUAUCAGGAGGAACACCUGCGGUGUAGACGGCUUACUGGACCAUCACUGACGCUGAGGCACGAAAGCGUGGGUAGCAAACAGG